GUUUCUUUAUGGAGAUAUCCAGUAAAAUUGGACUAAUAUGGAGAUGAUUAGCAAGGUCUUUGUGCACGGAUAACACACACAGAUCAACUAAUGGUCCAAAUUUUU